rnacentral:rRNA from 1 species
ACUCCUACGGGAGGCAGCAGUGGGGAAUUUUGCGCAAUGAGCGAAAGCUUGACGCAGCGACGCCGCGUGCGGGAUGAAGGCUCUCGGGUCGUAAACCGCUGUCGUGAGGGACGAACAUCCCAAGGAUGAAUAAGCCUUGGGCCUGACGGUACCUCAUGAGAAAGCCCCGGCUAACUACGUGCCAGCAGCCGCGGUAAUACG